rnacentral:rRNA from 1 species
GUGCCAGCAGCCGCGGUAAUACGUAGGUGGCAAGCGUUGUCCGGAUUUAUUGGGCGUAAAGCGAGCGCAGGCGGAUUGAUAAGUCUGAUGUGAAAGCCUUCGGCUCAACCGAAGAACUGCAUCAGAAACUGUCAAUCUUGAGUGCAGAAGAGGAGAGUGGAACUCCAUGUGUAGCGGUGGAAUGCGUAGAUAUAUGGAAGAACACCAGUGGCGAAGGCGGCUCUCUGGUCUGUAACUGACGCUGAGGCUCGAAAGCAUGGGUAGCGAACAGGAUUAGAUACCCUGGUAGUCC